rnacentral:rRNA from 2 species
UUAAGCGACUAAGCGUACACGGUGGAUGCCCUGGCAGUCAGAGGCGAUGAAGGACGUGCUAAUCUGCGAUAAGCGUCGGUAAGGUGAUAUGAACCGUUAUAACCGGCGAUUUCCGAAUGGGGAAACCCAGUGUGAUUCGUCACACUAUCAUUAACUGAAUCCAUAGGUUAAUGAGGCGAACCGGGGGAACUGAAACAUCUAAGUACCCCGAGGAAAAGAAAUCAACCGAGAUUCCCCCAGUAGCGGCGAGCGAACGGGGAGCAGCCCAGAGCCUGAAUCAGUGUGUGUGUUAGUGGAAGCGUCUGGAAAGGCGCGCGAUACAGGGUGACAGCCCCGUACACAAAAAUGCACAUACUGUGAGCUCGAUGAGUAGGGCGGGACACGUGGUAUCCUGUCUGAAUAUGGGGGGACCAUCCUCCAAGGCUAAAUACUCCUGACUGACCGAUAGUGAACCAGUACCGUGAGGGAAAGGCGAAAAGAACCCCGGCGAGGGGAGUGAAAAAGAACCUGAAACCGUGUACGUACAAGCAGUGGGAGCCUCUUUAUGGGGUGACUGCGUACCUUUUGUAUAAUGGGUCAGCGACUUAUAUUCUGUAGCAAGGUUAACCGAAUAGGGGAGCCGAAGGGAAACCGAGUCUUAACUGGGCGUUAAGUUGCAGGGUAUAGACCCGAAACCCGGUGAUCUAGCCAUGGGCAGGUUGAAGGUUGGGUAACACUAACUGGAGGACCGAACCGACUAAUGUUGAAAAAUUAGCGGAUGACUUGUGGCUGGGGGUGAAAGGCCAAUCAAACCGGGAGAUAGCUGGUUCUCCCCGAAAGCUAUUUAGGUAGCGCCUCGUGAAUUCAUCUCCGGGGGUAGAGCACUGUUUCGGCAAGGGGGUCAUCCCGACUUACCAACCCGAUGCAAACUGCGAAUACCGGAGAAUGUUAUCACGGGAGACACACGGCGGGUGCUAACGUCCGUCGUGAAGAGGGAAACAACCCAGACCGCCAGCUAAGGUCCCAAAGUCAUGGUUAAGUGGGAAACGAUGUGGGAAGGCCCAGACAGCCAGGAUGUUGGCUUAGAAGCAGCCAUCAUUUAAAGAAAGCGUAAUAGCUCACUGGUCGAGUCGGCCUGCGCGGAAGAUGUAACGGGGCUAAACCAUGCACCGAAGCUGCGGCAGCGACACUAUGUGUUGUUGGGUAGGGGAGCGUUCUGUAAGCCUGUGAAGGUGUACUGUGAGGUAUGCUGGAGGUAUCAGAAGUGCGAAUGCUGACAUAAGUAACGAUAAAGCGGGUGAAAAGCCCGCUCGCCGGAAGACCAAGGGUUCCUGUCCAACGUUAAUCGGGGCAGGGUGAGUCGACCCCUAAGGCGAGGCCGAAAGGCGUAGUCGAUGGGAAACAGGUUAAUAUUCCUGUACUUGGUGUUACUGCGAAGGGGGGACGGAGAAGGCUAUGUUGGCCGGGCGACGGUUGUCCCGGUUUAAGCGUGUAGGCUGGUUUUCCAGGCAAAUCCGGAAAAUCAAGGCUGAGGCGUGAUGACGAGGCACUACGGUGCUGAAGCAACAAAUGCCCUGCUUCCAGGAAAAGCCUCUAAGCAUCAGGUAACAUCAAAUCGUACCCCAAACCGACACAGGUGGUCAGGUAGAGAAUACCAAGGCGCUUGAGAGAACUCGGGUGAAGGAACUAGGCAAAAUGGUGCCGUAACUUCGGGAGAAGGCACGCUGAUAUGUAGGUGAAGUCCCUCGCGGAUGGAGCUGAAAUCAGUCGAAGAUACCAGCUGGCUGCAACUGUUUAUUAAAAACACAGCACUGUGCAAACACGAAAGUGGACGUAUACGGUGUGACGCCUGCCCGGUGCCGGAAGGUUAAUUGAUGGGGUCAGCGCAAGCGAAGCUCUUGAUCGAAGCCCCGGUAAACGGCGGCCGUAACUAUAACGGUCCUAAGGUAGCGAAAUUCCUUGUCGGGUAAGUUCCGACCUGCACGAAUGGCGUAAUGAUGGCCAGGCUGUCUCCACCCGAGACUCAGUGAAAUUGAACUCGCUGUGAAGAUGCAGUGUACCCGCGGCAAGACGGAAAGACCCCGUGAACCUUUACUAUAGCUUGACACUGAACAUUGAGCCUUGAUGUGUAGGAUAGGUGGGAGGCUUUGAAGUGUGGACGCCAGUCUGCAUGGAGCCGACCUUGAAAUACCACCCUUUAAUGUUUGAUGUUCUAACGUUGACCCGUUAUCCGGGUUGCGGACAGUGUCUGGUGGGUAGUUUGACUGGGGCGGUCUCCUCCUAAAGAGUAACGGAGGAGCACGAAGGUUGGCUAAUCCUGGUCGGACAUCAGGAGGUUAGUGCAAUGGCAUAAGCCAGCUUGACUGCGAGCGUGACGGCGCGAGCAGGUGCGAAAGCAGGUCAUAGUGAUCCGGUGGUUCUGAAUGGAAGGGCCAUCGCUCAACGGAUAAAAGGUACUCCGGGGAUAACAGGCUGAUACCGCCCAAGAGUUCAUAUCGACGGCGGUGUUUGGCACCUCGAUGUCGGCUCAUCACAUCCUGGGGCUGAAGUAGGUCCCAAGGGUAUGGCUGUUCGCCAUUUAAAGUGGUACGCGAGCUGGGUUUAGAACGUCGUGAGACAGUUCGGUCCCUAUCUGCCGUGGGCGCUGGAGAACUGAGGGGGGCUGCUCCUAGUACGAGAGGACCGGAGUGGACGCAUCACUGGUGUUCGGGUUGUCAUGCCAAUGGCACUGCCCGGUAGCUAAAUGCGGAAGAGAUAAGUGCUGAAAGCAUCUAAGCACGAAACUUGCCCCGAGAUGAGUUCUCCCUGACUCCUUGAGAGUCCUGAAGGAACGUUGAAGACGACGACGUUGAUAGGCCGGGUGUGUAAGCGCAGCGAUGCGUUGAGCUAACCGGUACUAAUGAACCGUGAGGCUUAACCUU